ensembl:lncRNA
CACCCACCCAUAAGAAAAACUUCAUGAGAGUCAAAACCAUUUGGCAAUGGAAUAUGAUAACUUGGAGUGUGGUGGAAUCUCCUUGGGGGUUUUAAGCUAGGGCUGGAUGGCCAUCUGUCAGAGUGCUUGGAUUGUAUUUUUCUGCCUGGCAGAAUGAGGUUGGAUUGGAUGGCCCUUGUAUUCUCUUCCAACUCCAUGAAUAUAAUCACAGAGUUAGAAGAGAUUCCAAGGACUCAUCCAGUCCAGUUGCAUUCUGCCAUGUGAUAAUGCUCAAUCCAAGCACUCCUGACAGAUGGCCAUCUAGCCUCUGUAUGAAAACCUCCCAAAGAAGGAGACUCCGGUACAUUAUGCAGGCUCUGACCUAAUCCGGCAGUUUGUUUUCUUCCCAUUGUAUCUGAUUUCUUAGGAGCCUCUUUCCCCUUUAAAUUCAGAAGGAGAAUCUAAAGGGGAAAUUAACCUAUAAAGGACACUCCCCUUAUUGUUUAAUUUCCUCUUUUGAUCUUCCUUCUAAAUUUAAAUGGUGAUGAAACCUCAUUGGAGUCAGAGGCAGCUAAAAUUGAGAAUCCUUAAGAGUCAGUCCCUGGGAGGAGUUUGUGAGUGUAGUAUGUCAGCAAAUGACUUGAGUUAAAUACCAUAUCCCUGACUUCAUCUUUGUGUGAUUAUGUCGCCUCAUUUCCAAAUGGCGUGAUGAUUAUAACGUAUUGAAAUCUGAGCCUCUAAAGUACUGGGUGUGCAUGUAAUAUUUUACCUGGGAAGAAUCUUGCAGGGCAAUCAGAAUGUGGAUAUCAGAUCUGGAUGCAAAUUAGUAUCACCAGACCUUGCGAGGCAGAUGUCUUGCGUGUAAACAAACAGGAAGAAGGAUCACUCACGGAGCACCUGGAGACAGUUGUGUCUCAAAAGCCAGUUGCCAUCUUUGAGAAAUUGGUGAAGGUAAAGGUGAAUCUAACCAGAUCUCAAAAUGUGUAGCUUGGAUUGUGUUGCAAACACAUUCAGAACGGUUUUCAGGCUGUUGAAGGGCAUAUUUGACAAGGCGAAAGGUAAGAGAACUGAUAGAAGAAGUGAUGCCAUGAAAAAACUGGCCACAAAAUGUUUUCAAAUUGCCUAUUGACUUAUGGUGACAUGUGGAUUUUAGAGGCAAAAAAUACUCAACAGUGGUUUCACCAGUUCCUUCAUCUAAAAUAUAGCCAAAAGCACCUGGUAGUAGCUGGAAGUUUCCAACCCAAGUACUGACUAGAACUGACCCUACUUCUAAGAUCAAACAGGAUCUGAUGCCCUUGUGUGAUUCUCAACCUGUGGGUCCCCAGAUGUUUUGGCCUUCAACUCCCAGAAAUCCUAACAGCUAGUAAACUGGCUGGGAUUUCCGGGAGUUGAAGGCCAAAACACCCAUAGGUUGAGAACCACUGCCUUUGACAAACCACAAAGUACUUCUUAAGAAAGCAGAGUCAUUCUCUGGUUGCUUUUAAAUAUCUUUUUUAAAGACUUGCUGUGUUGAACCCUCCCAGUAGGGGUCCUAUUUUGGGGUGUCUCUUGCUCAAGUGUGGCCAAAAAAGGUGAGUAGAUUCUCUCUUACCAAAUCACCACUUUCUCCAACCCAAAUUAUCCACAAAGGAGGACAUUUACAGGGCAUUUGGAAAAGAACUCACUAGUUUCCAUUUAAUUUAAAUGGAAACUAGGGAGUUCUUUUUUAUUUCUAUUAAAAACUGAAUGUGUUCAAGCUUGUUUGAGUCUCCUUAAGCCUUGUUUUAAGAGAGAAAAGUGGGAUAUACAGUAAAGUAUUAUUAUUACUCUUAUUAAUAUUAAUAUAUGCAGACAUCAUGUUUAAUAAUUUAUGUAUUAAUACAGUCACAAGAAGACUGUUGUCCUUUGGUCAGCAUGCCAGUUCAUUCUUCUAUCCAGGUGGUGCUAAUAGCUUCCAGGAUCCUCCUUUGCUACCAUCAUACAAAUCUUUUCUUUUAUGUUGGGUUUUGACUAAAUAGCCUUUCCAAUGUGGGUGGGAACUGUGUGGCUCUCCAAACAUUGCUAAAGUUGUAUUGUCGAAGGCUUUCAUGCCUGGAAUCACUGGGUUGCUGUGAGUUUUCCGUACUGUAUGGCCAUGUUCCAGAAGUAUUAUUUCCUAACAUUUUACCCACAUCUAUGGCAAGCAUCCUCAGAGAUUGUGAGAUCUCACAACCUCUGAGAAUGCCUGCCAUAGAUGUGGGUGAAACGUCAGGAAAUAUUUAUUUAUUUAUUUAUUUAUUACAAUAUUUAUAUCCCGCCCUUCUCACCCAACAGGGGACUCAGGGCAGCUUUCAAUAAAAUGCAUAUAUAAAAAUUAUACAGUGUAAUAUAAAUCAGUUAAAAAAAUAUUAUUAACUUAUAUCAGUAUUCAUAAAACACAUUAUAAAAUACAGGUAGGCGUGUUCAGUUCAAAAAACUGGGUCUG